UACGUAGGGGGCAAGCGUUGUCCGGAUUUAUUGGGCGUAAAGCGCGUGUAGGUGGCCAAGUAGGUCCGCUGUGAAAACUUGAGGCUCAACCUCAAGCUGUCGGUGGAAACCCCUUGGCUAGAGUCCGGAAGAGGAGAGUGGAAUUCCUGGUGUAGCGGUGAAAUGCGCAGAUAUCAGGAAGAACACCAAUGGCGAAGGCAGCUCUCUGGGACGGUACUGACACUGAGACGCGAAAAGCGUGGGGAGCGAACAGG
rnacentral:rRNA from 1 species